AAUGUAGAAAGUAGUAAAAGUAAAGAAUCAUUUUAUAGUGCUUAUAUUAAGUAAACCAGGCAGCACAAUUGUCUUUCUUUUUUAAAUUUACGGAUAGCCAGGGGCACACGACAACACUCAGACAUCAUUUACAAAUGAAGCAUUUGUGUUUAAUGAGUCCUUCAGAUCAGAGGCAGUAAAUGUGUGAAUUAGACAAUUUUCCUGUCCUGCUAAGCAUUCAAAAUGUAACGAGUACUUUUGGGUGUCAGGGAAAAUGUAUGGAGUACAAAUUGCAUUAUUAUCUUUAGGAAUGUAGUGAAGUAAAAGUUGUCAAAAAUAUAAAUAGUAAAGUAAAGUACAGAUACCCCAAAAAACAACUUAAGUAGAACUUUAAAGUAUUUUUACUUAAGUACUUUACACCACGGACAAGGAGGUAUAGAUCCUUUCACACACUGACAAACUAAUACAUAUGUAGAUGUGCAAGUAAAUUCAGCAAAAUAACAACUGUAGGCUGCUCACUUGUUCACACUGUUUAUUAAAACUCACUCAUGGACACAUGAGACAAAGGGUGUAUAGUCUAUCUACCGGUAAGCCAGUGGAGAGGGGCUGAGAGGAGCUGUGUCACUGUGUUAAUAACUACUUGGUCUGGGUGGCUGUGUUAAUAACUACUUGGCCAGGGAGGUUUCGGAGGAUGAGUAGCUAAUCCACCAAAGAAUAAUAAUAACGAUCCUCAAAUAGUACUUCCCGUACGGUGGCCAAGUCAGUCACAAGGAGUUGGAUCAUUGAUUAUGUUUUAUUUCAUUACACCUAGUCCUUUAUUGAUGGUAGCUCAUUGAAAAGUGUAAACCAUUGGAUUUUGUUGAGAAAGAUAAAAAAGCUCAUCAGGAACAGGGGUCUUUGAUUAGGAUGUCAGUUUGACAGUUUCUUCUAAAUAAUAUCCACAACAGUCUAUUUGAUUUUUUUGUUUCAAAAGUUUUGGGGAGGUUACCAUUACCACAAGCAUGAUGGGAGGAUAUUGAUGGGGUAGUGACCUAGGGCCUGAUUUAUAAAACAGACUUAGGGUCAAUUCUGAUCUUAAGUAUGACUUACGCAGAAAACCACAUAAGUAGUUAUUUAUAAAACCUUACUUUGACGUGGAAAUGAUCUUAUCUCUACGCAAAGUCCCGAUUUGAGUGAUCACUUACUCGCAAAGUCCCGACGUAAGUGAUUGUCCUGCUGGUUGUGUAGGGGUAUUGCAGUUUGGGACGCAUCUGAGUCCAAGCCUGUGGGGAGCUUUGCAUCAGCUUUACGAACAAUUUGUUAGGAAUGAUCAAUUAAAGGUGUGAGGAGUUAAUUGCUAGACGCAAAGUGUUUUGGAUUAAAAACAGGGUGAGAUGUUCUAUAAAUAGUGUGUGAAAUUAGAAAGAAGUAACCAUGGCUGUUCUUGUGUUAUUGGAAGACAUUGAAAACCGUGCUGAACAUGUAUACGUUAACAGGAAGAAUUUCCAUUCAUUGAAUGUUCAGAUCAUCUGCGGUGCCCGAAUGCAACUUUGCUCCAAGUGGCCAGGGUCUACGCAUGACUCAUUCAUUCUGCGCCACAGCAGAGUAGGCCUGCGUCUAGAAGCUGGUGACCGGGGCUAUCCACUGAAAACAUGGCUUCUCACUCCCUCUGCAGAACUCCGAACAACAGAGGAAAUGUGCUAAGAUUUGGCUCAUGGCAGAACAAGUUCGGUUGUGGAGCGCACCAUCGGACUGCUGAAGGAACCUGACGCAUCAGGUGGAAAACGCCUCUACAAGACAGAGAAGGUAACACACAUAAUACUGGCAUGCGGUGUGCUCCACAACAUAGCACUGAGGCUUGGUAUUGAAAUGGAUGCAGAGAUUAGACUGGACCCCCAAGAGCCUCCUAACCCACCACCAAAUGGAGCACCUGCCCCGGCUGAUGCAGUGAGGAGGAGGCGGCAGCUCAUGCAGAGAUUGGUGGACUGAGGCGGUCAACAUGUGGAUGCAGACGUGGAUGGACCCUCGAUACCUGUGGCCAAACCUUGCCCCUCACUCCUGGCACCUGCUGAUUUGGGAACCCUCCCUGGGUGGAGGGGGCACACUCACCCAGAGCACGGGAUGCAACAAAGCUUCCCUUGGUGGAGGAGGCACACUCACCCAGAGCACGGGCUGCAACAAAGCUUCCCUUGGUGGAGGGGGCACACUCACCCAGAGCAUGGGCUGCAACAAAGCUUCCCUUGGUGGAGGAGGCACACUCACCCAGAGCACGGGCUGCAACAAAGCUUCCCUUGGUGGAGGGGGCAUACCCACCCAGAGCACGGGCUGCAACAAAGCUUCCCUUGGUGGAGGGGGCACACUCACCCAGAGCACGGGCUGCAACUCAGCUUCCCUUGGUGGAGGGGGCAUACCCACCCAGAGCACGGGCUGCAACUCAGCUUUCCUCGUUUCUAUGUGGAUGAAGUACAUCAGUGCACGUCUUGUAUAUUAAGUUACUGACAACAAAGUUUCACAUUCUCUUAAUUACUUACCGUGAUCCGGUGAUGAAGUCCUGGGGGUUUCGCGCUGACUUCACCGUUUCCAAUGUUACUGCUAAACAAUGUAAAAGUUUGGAUUAAACCACAUGAAAAAUAUCGCAAAAUAGAAGAAACUCGCCUUUUUUAAACAUUCACUGUCGCCGUUGGAGCGUGUGCCAGUGUAUGUGCUUUUCCCAAUGAUUGCGCUUUCCCCAAUGAUUGCGCUGAUCAGAACUCCAUGAUCAGAAUACAAAAGCUGCAUGAACUGUCAAGUCUAGACAUGGCCUGUCUGUGUACUAAACAUGUGAGGAGCAAGGGGAUUUUCAGGUGAACAAAAGGAGUGAUCGUUGAUAAUAUCAAUGAAAAAUCUAUCCGGUUUAUUACAAGUUUCGAAAGAGAAACAUCUCCAGAACAAAAGCAGAGAGAAUGUCUAAUGGACCUCUGAAAAGGUCGUUCUAUAUUAAUCACACAGCACCGAAUGUUCUGUAAACACCAGCCUGAGAGGUUUGUAGGAAGUCACAACCUCCGCUGCUACAGAAUCAGUGUCACAGAUACAUUAAGGUCCUUCAACCAAUUUGGUGGCUUUUGAGAUGUGUAACUUUGAGUUUUGUUGUUGAUUUUACCUGCACUUGUACAACAACAACAAAAAGUUUCCCCAUUUUGAGGUGAAAAAAAAAUAUUAUAAAGUAACAGGGUUGACCUUAACAGGGUUGACCUUAACAGGGUUGACCGUAGAAGGGGUUGAGCGUAACAGGAUUGAUGAUUUAAUCUUAAAUCAGGAGCUUGUGGGCAACAGGGAUGGCAAUUGAAUGCAGGCGUAGUGUAUUUUGGCGUUUCUAGCCUGUCUAUGGAGUUUUCCUCCACGAAACACCAGAAAAGAGUAGAACCAGCCCGCCCACCUGCUUUCACACUACGAUUUCACUUUUAGAUUUUCAAUGUUUCUUAAAUGAGGGGCAUACAGAAUAUAAAUGAAUCACUAAUCACAUGAAAUAAAUAAUAAUGAGAUAUAAUUAGGACUUUACAAUGAUGGGGAACAUUUGGGGUUAAGUGGGUUGACUUCUUCCUAGAAGUCAG